rnacentral:rRNA from 1 species
GAUGAACGCUGGCGGCGUGCCUAAUACAUGCAAGUCGAGCGAACAGACGAGGAGCUUGCUCCUCUGACGUUAGCGGCGGACGGGUGAGUAACACGUGGAUAACCUACCUAUAAGACUGGGAUAACUUCGGGAAACCGGAGCUAAUACCGGAUAAUAUAUUGAACCGCAUGGUUCAAUAGUGAAAGACGGUUUUGCUGUCACUUAUAGAUGGAUCCGCGCCGCAUUAGCUAGUUGGUAAGGUAACGGCUUACCAAGGCAACGAUGCGUAGCCGACCUGAGAGGGUGAUCGGCCACACUGGAACUGAGACACGGUCCAGACUCCUACGGGAGGCAGCAGUAGGGAAUCUUCCGCAAUGGGCGAAAGCCUGACGGAGCAACGCCGCGUGAGUGAUGAAGGUCUUCGGAUCGUAAAACUCUGUUAUUUGGGAAGAACAAAUGUGUAAGUAACUAUGCACGUCUUGACGGUACCUAAUCAGAAAGCCACGGCUAACUACG